rnacentral:rRNA from 1 species
AACGAACGCUGGCGGCAUGCCUAACACAUGCAAGUCGAACGAGACCUUCGGGUCUAGUGGCGCACGGGUGCGUAACGCGUGGGAAUCUGCCCUUAGGUACGGAAUAACUCAGGGAAACUUGAGCUAAUACCGUAUAAUGACUUCGGUCCAAAGAUUUAUCGCCUAAGGAUGAGCCCGCGUCGGAUUAGCUAGUUGGUGAGGUAAAAGCUCACCAAGGCGACGAUCCGUAGCUGGCUGAGAGGAUGAUCAGCCACACUGGGACUGAGACACGGCCCAGACUCCUACGGGAGGCAGCAGUGGGGAAUAUU